AUUGAACGCUGGCGGCGUGCUUAACACAUGCAAGUCGUGCGGUAACAGGCGUAGCAAUACGUGCUGACGAGCGGCGAACGGGUGCGUAAUACAUGGGAAUCUGCCCUUUAGUGGGGAAUAACCCGGCGAAAGCCGGGCUAAUGCCGCAUAAGAUCUUCGGAUGAAAGCGGGGGAGUCGUAAGACCUCGCGCUGAUGGAUGAGCCCAUGUCGGAUUAGCAGUUGGUGAGGUAACGGCUCACCAAGGCGACGAUCCGUAGCUGGUCUGAGAGGACGGCCAGCCACACUGGGACUGAGACACGGCCCACGACUCCUACGGGAGGCAGCAGUGGGGAAUAUUGGACAAUGGGCGAAAGCCUGAUCCAGCGACGCCGCGUGUGUGAAGAAGGCCUGCGGGUUG
rnacentral:rRNA from 1 species